rnacentral:rRNA from 1 species
UACGGGGGGAGCAAGCGUUGUUCGGAUUUACUGGGCGUAAAGGGCGCGUAGGCGGCGCAACAAGUCACUUGUGAAAUCUCCGGGCUUAACCCGGAAAUGGCAUUGAAUACUAUCUUGCUUGAGGGUUGGAGGGGGGACUGGAAUUCUCGGUGUAGCAGUGAAAUGCGUAGAUAUCGAGAGGAACACCAGUGGCGAAGGCGAGUCCCUGGACAACUCCUGACACUGAGGCACGAAAGCUAGGGGAGCAAACAGG